rnacentral:rRNA from 1 species
CCUACGGGAGGCAGCAGUGAGGAAUAUUGGUCAAUGGACGCAAGUCUGAACCAGCCAUGCCGCGUGCAGGAUGACGGCUCUAUGAGUUGUAAACUGCUUUUGUACGAGGGUAAACCCCGAUACGUGUAUCGGGAUGAGAGUAUCUGACGAAAAAGGAUCGGCUAACUCCGUGCCAGCAGCCGCGGUAAUACGGAGGAGCCGAGCGUUAUCCGGAUGUAUUGGGUUUAAAGGGUGCGUAGGCGGUUUGAUAAGUUAGGGGUGAAAUGUCGGGGCUCAACCCCGAAACUGCCUCUAAUACUGUGAGACUAGAGAAUAGUUGGGGUAGGCGGAAUGUAUGGUGUAGCGGUGAAAUGCUUAGAGAUCAUACAGAACACCGAUUGCGAAGGCAGCUUACCAAACUGUAUCUGACGUUGAGGCACGAAAGCGUGGGUAGCAAACAGGAUUAGAUACCCUUGUAGUC